rnacentral:tRNA from 1 species
GUGGGAGUAGCUCAGUGGCAGAGCGCAUGCUUAGCACGCACGAGGUCCUGGGUUCAAUCUCUAGUACCUCCA